rnacentral:rRNA from 1 species
GUUGACCUCGGAUCAGGUAGGAAUACCCGCUGAACUUAAGCAUAUCAAUAAGUGGAGGAA